rnacentral:rRNA from 1 species
AGCGAACGCUGGCGGCAGGCCUAACACAUGCAAGUCGAACGAACUCUUCGGAGUUAGUGGCGGACGGGUGAGUAACACGUGGGAACGUGCCUUUAGGUUCGGAAUAACUCAGGGACACUUGUGCUAAUACCGAAUGUGCCCUUCGGGGGAAAGAUUUAUCGCCUUUAGAGCGGCCCGCGUCUGAUUAGCUAGUUGGUGAGGUAAAGGCUCACCAAGGCGACGAUCAGUAGCUGGUCUGAGAGGAUGAUCAGCCACAUUGGGACUGAGACACGGCCCAAACUCCUACGGGAGGCAGCAGUGGGGAAUCUUGCGCAAUGGGCGAAAGCCUGACGCAGCCAUGCCGCGUGAAUGAUGAAGGUCUUAGGAUUGUAAAAUUCUUUCACCGGGGACGAUAAUGACGGUACCCGGAGAAGAAGCCCCGGCUAACUUCGUG